rnacentral:rRNA from 1 species
CCUACGGGUGACAGCAGUAGGGAAUAUUGCUCAAUGGGGGAAACCCUGAAGCAGCAACGCCGCGUGGAGGAUGAAGGUUUUCGGAUUGUAAACUCCUUUUGUUAGAGAAGAUAAUGACGGUAUCUAACGAAUAAGCACCGGCUAACUCCGUGCCAGCCGCCGCGGUAAUACGGAGGGUGCAAGCGUUACUCGGAAUCACUGGGCGUAAAGAGCGCGUAGGCGGGUUAGCAAGUCAGAUGUGAAAUCCUAUGGCUUAACCAUAGAACAGCAUUUGAAACUGUUAUUCUAGAGUUUGGGAGAGGUAGGUGGAAUUCUUGGUGUAGGGGUAAAAUGCGUAGAGAUCAAGAAGAAUACUCAUGGCGAAGGCGACCUGCUAGAACAUAACUGACGCUGAGGCGCGAGAGCGUGGGGAGCAAACAGGAUUAGAUACCCGAGUAGUC